CUCCACCUCCCAGGUUCAAGCGAUUCUCCUACCUCAGCCUCCCCAGGAGCUGGGACUACAGGUGCACACCACCAUGCCUGGCUAAUCGAUUAUGUAAUUUAAUAGAAUCACACAGGGAGCAUAAUCACUCAAACCACACUGCAGUGACUGCUUGACAGGCAGCUCCAGAACAGGGGCGUGGAUGUGACUGGAGGGCAAAGGUCAACAGUGACAGACACGUUUUGACAAUGAUUUACAGUGAGAAUAAGUUUUUCGUUUCUUGUAAAGAUUUUAAAAACGUUUUCAAAAUAGGCACAGAAGGGAGGAAAAUUACCUCAUUUUAUGUGCCUCUGUUUCCUCACCUUUGUUACUUAAGUUUUUGGUACAGGUCUCCCUCUGUCACCCAGGCUGCAGUGCAAUGGCGUGAUCAUGGCUCACUGCAGCUUCCACCUCCCAAGCUCAGGUGAUCCUCCCACCUCAGCCUCCCCAGUAGCUGCGACCAUAGCUGCAUCCCACCAUAACUGGCGAAUUUUUGGUAGAGAUAGGGUAUGGCUAUGUUGCCCAGGCUGGUCUCAAACUCCUGGGCUCAAGUGAUCUGCCCGCCUCAGCCUCCCAAAGUGAUGGGAUUACAGGAGUGAACCACUGUGCCCAGCCCUAUUUCCUCACCUUUAAAAUGGGAAUAAGUACAGCCCUCAUUGGUUAGGCCGCUGUGAGUUCAGUGAGUGAAUCCACCUGCUUAAACCCGAUAGCAGGUGUUCUAUCGGCAGAGGUCAGCUGCCACCACUCCUUCUAUCAGUGUGGCAAGAGCUGCUACGUCACCCGCAGCAGAAGGAACUGGGCUAUUCUCCAAGUCGGAAUCCAGUGGGGGAACCUCCUCCUCACCUCUGCUUCACCUCCCACCUCCAGACAGGCCAUAAGCCCCGCGCCCUCUGCUUCACCUCCCACCUCCGGCCAGGCCAUAAGCCCUGUGCCCUCUGCUUCACCUCCCAACUCCGGC
rnacentral:lncRNA from 10 species